CAGUCGAACGAGAGAUGAGGAGCUUGCUCUUCAAAUCGAGUGGCGAACGGGUGAGUAACGCGUGAGGAACCUGCCUCAAAGAGGGGGACAACAGUUGGAAACGACUGCUAAUACCGCAUAAGCCCACAGCUCGGCAUCGAGCAGGGGGAAAAGGAGUGAUCCGCUUUGAGAUGGCCUCGCGUCCGAUUAGCUAGUUGGUGAGGUAACGGCCCACCAAGGCGACGAUCGGUAGCCGGACUGAGAGGUUGAACGGCCACAUUGGGACUGAGACACGGCCCAGACUCCUACGGGAGGCAGCAGUGGGGAAUAUUGCACAAUGGGGGAAACCCUGAUGCAGCGACGCCGCGUGGAGGAAGAAGGUCUUCGGAUUGUAAACUCCUGUUGUUGAGGAAGAUAAUGACAGUACUCAACAAGGAAGUGACGGCUAACUACGUGCCAGCAGCCGCGGUAAAACGUAGGUCACAAGCGUUGUCCGGAAUUACUGGGUGUAAAGGGAGCGCAGGCGGGAGAACAAGUUGGAAGUGAAAUCCAUGGGCUCAACCCAUGAACUGCUCUCAAAACUGUUUUUCUUGAGUAGUGCAGAGGUAGGCGGGAUUCCCGGUGUAGCGGUGGAAUGCGUAGAUAUCGGGAGGAACACCAGUGGCGAAGGCGGCCUACUGGGCACCAACUGACGCUGAGGCUCGAAAGUGUGGGUAGCAAACAGGAUUAGAUACCCUGGUAGUCCACACCGUAAACGAUGAUUACUAGGUGUUGGAGGAUUGACCCCUUCAGUGCCGCAGUUAACACAAUAAGUAAUCCACCUGGGGA
rnacentral:rRNA from 1 species